UGGGCAACCUGCCCUCAGCUCUGGGAUAACUCCAAGAAAUUGGGGCUAAUACCGGAUAUGACCGCUGACCGCAUGGUCUGGUGGUGGAAAGAUUUAUCGGCUGGGGAUGGGCCCGCGGCCUAUCAGCUUGUUGGUGGGGUAGUGGCCUACCAAGGCGACGACGGGUAGCCGACCUGAGAGGGUGACCGGCCACACUGGGACUGAGACACGGCCCAGACUCCUACGGGA
rnacentral:rRNA from 1 species